CCCCUCCCGCCGCAUCCCCAUCCCCUUCUCUUCUUUGUGGAUGCGCCCGCCCAGGCCGCCGGUGACCCUCACCAUCAGAGCCCUCCCCCACGUCGUCGUCGGAGGGAGUUGUCGCUUUGGCUAGGAUAGGGUCUUUGCCGAGGGUUGAGGCGCCCCAGUUCCCCAUCUCCCCGCCUCAGUGAUGGAGAGGUGCGAGAUGGAUGUGGGGAGGAGCGGGCAUGGUGCAGUGGCUGAAGGAGGCGUUGGCGUGGUGGCGGCGUCGGGAGCGGUUGGAGGCGACCACGGGCAUCCAGUCGUAACGGCAGGGGGCGAUGUGGCUGCUCGAGGUCCGGUUCAUCUUGGAUGUCACGGAGGUAACCCAUAUCCGAGCAGUACUUCACUCCAAUCGCAUGACACGCUGCUCCCAGUGAGGCUAAAUCCCCAUAUUAUCCAUCCAAAUCUGUCGUGUUCUCUGAAUGAUGUGCUGUGAGCUUCAUGGUUGGGUGAAGACUCCUGCUUAAAGUUUUCGAUCUACACAGUUUCCGGGAUGGAUGAGUGGUGUGACUAAUUUGUUUCUGACAAUUCCAAGGUUUCCGUGUGGUUUCAGUAAAAUUUGUUGAUUGGGAUAAGUUUGAUUGAUCUGAUGAUUUUGUCGUUUCUUUCUGUCAAGAAAAGGUUGAUCUCAUGUUGUUUAUUUUUUAGUAUAUGGGAUUUAUUUUGCAGGACAGAAUUUUGUGGGCAGAGUGGUAAGAACUGACAAUUAAUUGACUUAAUUAAUUCCAUAUUUUGUGUUUGCAUUAUAAAUCAGUUCAGUUUUUAUGCAAAAUAUCUUGCACCUGUGUUCAUCUGCUCCUCUGACCACUCCAUGCCAUGCGUAUGUGCAGUCCUUGCCUCAUUGGACAUGUUCACUCUCAUGGCGAGCCUCAGUGGCCUGUGGCCGCCAGCGUGCCCUCUCGGUGCCUGCCGGUGCAAGAAGGCAUCGACGGGGCAGAUGGUGGCCCUGUACACUGGCAGCGCCAAUAUUCAUGCACUUGAAAAACCCCGGACAGUGAAGAACAUGGGAGUGCAAGGGCACAUUCUGUAUUCUUGAUAUAAUGGUUUCAAGCCUUUUGAUGGAAGCUCCUGUAUCUUCCUAGCAAGGCUGAUGGACUCUGGUGCUUGGUGAAUGUUGCCCAGCCUUGACCUCUCUUAAGUUUUGCAUAAAUAGUUAAAUACAUCAUCUGAGCUAAUCAAUUUAUAUGAAAACAAAUCAGUAGUGAUUUCGUCAAAUAUAUGGGUUAUUUUGAUGACAGUUCGCUUCUCUCCCUAGAUGAUCAAAUCAACUAUUUUAAUCUCAUUGAACAACUAGAUGAUUGAAGUGCUAAUCAAAUUAAUAUGCCCCCACCAGUUUAUUAGGUACUAAUUGAAUUAAUAUGCUCUCACAGGUUUAUUAGGUGAUAACUAAAACGAACAUUCUUUGGCUGACAUUUGAAGUAAGAUUAAAAACAACCUACAGAACAAACUGGAGAUGGUACACAUCAGAUGGCUCCCUCCCAUGGAGAAUGAACUGAAGAUUAAUAUUGAUGGCGCUUUCCACCCUGAACCAAACACUGGUGGUUGGGGUGCAGUCAUCAGGAAUCAUAAAGGAGAGGUAAAAGUAUGUGGGUGCCUAGCUAGGAAUGGAUAAAGGAGUGACAGCCAUUGGCCUUGAAACAGAUUCAGUGCUGCUGAAGCAAGGGGUAAACAAUGAUGAAUGAGGCCUCUCUGCUGUCUACCUAGGCUUAGAGGAGCUCAAGGAAUAUCUGAAGCAAAACUUUGAAGUGUGUCGUUUUACUUCUGCUAGGAGGAACUGUAAUAAAGUAGGCCGUUGUUUUGCUAGCUAUGGUAGUACCUUAGCAUGUAUGAUCAUCUUCAAACAGAUCAUGUAAUUCCACUUGUAUCGGACCUGGUGGUGACUCUUCUCUAAUUUCUGCAUACAUCUCCCCUAGAUAUGGACCACCCUGCUUUUGCA